GUUGCCUGGCUUCCUUUCUCGACGACAUAUUUUUUGAAAUGUGAGGCUGAUCCAUCACCAGAAAACUAGCAGAUACUUUUAAUUGGAAGCCAAGUCUCAAGAUUUCCCCUGGCUUCUGCUUGCUGAGUGUUGUCGCAGCAGUUUUUUACCAUGAUGAUCAUCCUGCAAGAGCAAGAGCAUCUCAAUCCGUUGAUCUUUCAGUUCCUCAAAACAAUAACAAUAAAAC